CUUCACCCACCAUUUCCCCACAGUUCUGCCCUCCAGAGCCCUCGGUUGCUCCCUUAUCCCCCUCUUACCCCCCAUGUGCCCCCCGAGACCCCCCAGUGACCCCACAAAGCCGGGAUCGAGCGCUGUUGCCCCACCAAGAGAAUCAACGACAAAGGAGAAGUCUCCGUCUAAGAAGGCAGCGUCAGAUGGAGAGCUGUGUACUGAGUAACGAUGAUGAGGAUGAAUCAAGAGAUAAAUGAUGUGUACAUGACAGAUAAAGUGAGUCAAGAACUGGGACCACUGGAGGAUGAAACUACAAGUUCAAAACGCUGUGCCAGUUAACUGCCUUUUUCUCUUGGACCGGUGACUGUUCUUCCCAAGGAACACUUGCAAGGCAAUUGUGGAGAACCAACAGAAGCGCCGCGGAGGAGGACUUAAAUACAGUCCAAUGACAAAACGAUUCAGGAAGCUGGUUUGGGAAAGAGAACAAGAUGCUGAGUCUGACUCAGGGGAAGACAGUGCUGCUGAGGAAGCUGAAGGUUCCCAUCUGUCUGGUGAGGAUGUUGGAGGGGAAACAUCUGAAUUUGAAGGUGAAACCUCCUCUGACGAUAUUGUUCGGAACCAACGGAAGCGCCACGGAGGAGGACUUAAUGGCAGCCCAAUGACAAAACGAUUCAGACUGAAGAAUUGGGAAAGAGAAUGGGAUGCUGCGUCUGACUCAGGGGAAGACAGUG